UUUAUAUUUUUAUUUUAUAAGUUUUUUUUUUUGUUUGCGAUUUAGAAGUCUCGAGCUUAGAUUUAAGUUUCAGCGGGCAUUGCGCCCGAAGAAGGAAGAGGCUAUAAGCCGAAGAGGCCCGGCAAACUGCCACUCAAGAGGGCAACUACUAAUGGCUCCCCAUCCUCUGGGUCAUCCAGAGCAUGGGAAGUCAUUAUUGUUACUACUUUGUCACUAUGCUCGAUUUUAGUAUUAGUAGUAGUAGUAGUAGUAGUAGUAG
rnacentral:misc_RNA from 1 species